AUUUUUUUCUAGGUUGUGGCGGGUUGGUGCGUCUAAACGGAAGGGUCCUGGACUUGAAGGAAUGCAACUGUUACUGCUAUCAUUUCACAUGCAACCGAAUUGUGCACUGAAAUGCGUUGGCGCCGUUGAUAGUACCCACUGCCCGGGUUUUUACUCAGGAAAAUGCGAGGUUUGGACCAACGUACCAGUUGAGUGUCCCAAAAUGUGCAAGUGGUGCCCAUACGCGGACAAGCAAUUCCUCAAGUAACCUAGAUCGUUCAGCCUUAUCUCACAACGGAUAAUUAAAGCCUUUGAACAAAGUGCUUAUUUGUUGACGCAUUAUAAAUUCGCAUGUACUUUUUAUCGUUUUCUUUCGGUUGGACAAUUGUAACUUAUGUUAUAUAUGCAUGUGUACAUGCAUUAGCUGUAAUUUAAAUGUGUUACUUCGUUUACUUAACUUUAACGCAUUUAGUAGUUUAUUGCUUUACGUUGAUUCCUAUAGUUAAGAUAUUGU